rnacentral:rRNA from 1 species
UACGAAGGGUGCAAGCGUUAAUCGGAAUUACUGGGCGUAAAGCGUGCGUAGGCGGUUUGUUAAGUCUGUUGUGAAAUCCCCGGGCUUAACCUGGGAAUUGCGCUUGAAACUAGCGGGCUUGAGUGUGGCAGAGGGGGGUGGAAUUCCACGUGUAGCAGUGAAAUGCGUAGAGAUGUGGAGGAACACCGAUGGCGAAGGCAGCCCCCUGGGUCAACACUGACGCUCAUGCACGAAAGCGUGGGGAGCAAACAGG